GGCGAUCAGAUACCGCCCUAGUUCUGACCGUAAACGAUGCCAACUAGCGAUCCGCCGGCGGAUUAUUCGCCCUGGUGGGGAGCUUCCCGGAAACGAAAGUCUUCCGGUUCCGGGGGAAGUAUGGUUGCAAAGCUGAAACUUAAAGGAAUUGACGGAAGGGCACCACCAGGAGUGGAGCCUGCGGCUUAAUUUGACUCAACACGGGGAAACUCACCCGGCCCGGACACCGCGAGGAUUGACAGAUUGACAGCUCUUUCAUGAUUCGGUGGAUGGUGGUGCAUGGCCGUUCUUAGUUCGUGGAGCGAUUUGUCUGGUUUAUUCCGAUAACGAGCGAGACUCUAGCCUGCUAAAUAGUCCAGUCAUCUCGCAACAGUGACUGCCGACUUCUUAGAGGGAUCAUCGGCGUUCAGCCGCACGAGAUUGAGCAAUAACAGGUCUGUGAUGCCCUUAGAUGUCCGGGGCUGCACGCGCGCUACACUGGCGAAGGCAGCGUGCCUGUCCUGUCGCGAAAGCGAUGGGUAAACCAUUGAAAAUUCGCCGUGAUUGGGAUCGGAAAUUGCAAUUAUUUUCCGUGAACGAGGAAUUCCAAGUAAGUGCGAGUCAUCAACUCGCGUUGAUUACGUCCCUGCCCUUUGUA
rnacentral:rRNA from 1 species